UUAGGAAUUUUGCGCAAUGGGGGAAACCCUGACGCAGCAACGCCGCGUGGAGGAUGAAGGCUUUCGGGUUGUAAACUCCUUUUAGCAGGGAAGAAAAAAAUGACGGUAUCUGCAGAAAAAGCACCGGCUAACUCUGUGCCAGCAGCCGCGGUAAUACAGAGGGUGCAAGCGUUAUUCGGAAUCACUGGGCGUAAAGAGCUCGUAGGCGGUUAAUUAAGUCAUAUGUGAAAGCCCUGGGCUCAAUCCAGGAAGUGCAUCUGAUACUGAUUGACUGGAGUGCAGGAGAGGAAAGCGGAAUUCCAGGUGUAGAGGUGAAAUUCGUAGAUAUCUGGAGGAACAACAGAAGCGAAGGCGGCUUUCUGGACUGUCACUGACGCUGAGGAGCGAAAGCGUGGGGAGCAAACA
rnacentral:rRNA from 1 species